AUUAAAUCGAAGGCAGCCGGCACAGCAAGGUCGUACACGGCAGGAAGGAGAAGGUGAAUUUCUGCUGUCAGCUGGGAAUGGAGCAGGAGGAAAAACAACGGAGUGACCCAGUUAAUGGGUGUCAAUCAGGGGGUGGUGGAGCUGGGAGUGGAAGCGCUCCGCAGCUCUGCUGAUGUUUGUUGCACAGCACAGAGCUGUCUCGUCCCACACAGCCCCUGGAGGUCCGGGCACGUGCUCCAGAUGGGAUUUGACAGCAACAGCUAAGAAGCAUCUCAGCCUGCAAAAAAUUCUCCCUGGGAUGGUAAGUCACCCACAGCUGCACCACGGAACCACACGACAGCUCCUCUGCACAGCAAUGGGAUGGAAAUUCAGCUCUGCUCACCCCUGGGGCUGGGGAUGCCAACUGCUGUGGGGGUGCGGUGGGAAAGGGGUGCUGGCCAUCCCACAGGGAGCUUCUCCAUCGCUCAUGGCCCAUUUUGGAUGGGAGCACGGAGUUUGGCUCUCACCAUGGGUCCGUGCUGUAAUGGGGCUCACAUGCAGGGUUCGGGUACUCAUGAUUUCUAAGGGAUCUGGCUUGCCCAAGGUCACACCAUUCAGAAGCACCGAUGUCCUUCUCUAACUGAAUCCCUCCUGCACAGACAAAUGGAGCACUGCCCAGUCUGCUGUUGGCCAGCACUUCCCUUGCAGGUGAUGCUACAAAAGGCAGAGAGGAGCUCUGUUCCCAUGCCUCCUCCACGUCACCGGGAGAAGCAGCCAAUGCUUUAUUAACCACCCUCUCCCUCCUUUACUGCUGGCUGAACUGGGUUAGGGCUUCUCAAACCUGCUGUGUCAGUCUUCUGCUGGUAGAGGGGAACAGCCAGCAUGUCUGUCCUGACCCCAGACACCCUUAUCACAGCAUCUGAGCAAGGCUACAUCUUUUUCUCCUUCCUGCCUUUAAUAAUAUUAUCAAUGUCUGGUUUGGAUUUUUACUAAAUAUAGGGCUAGAGGCUGGGGUGGUAUCACUUCCUCCCAGACAAAUUAGAACGGCCUGUUUAGAAGUACCUAUACUUACUUUUAUUUGCUUAUCUUGCAAGUUGUUUGAUUGCCCGCCACUGUUCCACCUCUGCU
ensembl:lncRNA